rnacentral:rRNA from 1 species
AUUGAACGCUGGCGGCAUGCUUUACACAUGCAAGUCGAACGGCAGCGCGGGCUUCGGCCUGGCGGCGAGUGGCGAACGGGUGAGUAAUGCAUCGGAACGUGCCCAGUAGUGGGGGAUAGCCCGGCGAAAGCCGGAUUAAUACCGCAUACGACCUGAGGGUGAAAGCGGGGGACCGAAAGGCCUCGCGCUAGUGGAACGGCCGAUGUCGGAUUAGCUAGUUGGUGGGGUAAAGGCUUGCCAAGGCGACGAUCCGUAGCUGGUCUGAGAGGACGACCAGCCACAUUGGGACUGAGACACGGCCCAGACUCCUACGGGAGGCAGCAGUGGGGAAUUUUGGACAAUGGGGGCAACCCUGAUCCAGCCAUGCCGCGUGCGGGAAGAAGGCCUUCGGGUUGUAAACCGCUUUUGUUCGGGAAGAAAUCCUCUGGGCUAAUACCCCGGGGGGAUGACGGUACCGGAAGAAUAAGCACCGGCUAACUACGUG